GGGCACAUGGUGUAGAGGUUCAUCACUCUUGCUUUGCAACAGCUGGCGCUGGUUCGACUCCUAGUGUAAUUGUAAGCGGUCCUGGGUUCAAGUCCCAGUGUGUCCA